UGAGGAAUAUUGCGCAAUGGGCGAAAGCCUGACGCAGCGACGCCGCGUGAAGGAUGAAGGUCUUCGGAUUGUAAACUUCUGUUAAGCGGGACGAAAGACCCAUUUCUAAUACAAAUGGGGAUGACGGUACCGCUAGAGAAAGCACCGGCUAAACUCGUGCCAGCAGCCGCGGUAAUACGAGUGGUGCGAGCGUUAUUCGGAAUUAUUGGGCGUAAAGGGCGCGUAGGUGGUAUAUUAAGUCAACUGUUAAAUUCUUCGGCCUAACCGGAGAUCUGCGGUAGAUACUGGUGUACUUGAGGAUGGAAGAGAGAAGUGGAAUUCUUGGAGUAGCGGUAAAAUGCGUAGAUAUCAAGAGGAACACCAAUGGCGAAAGGCAGCUUCUUGGUCCAGUCCUGACACUGA
rnacentral:rRNA from 1 species